rnacentral:lncRNA from 1 species
GCAUUACCGCCUGAGCUCCGCUUCCUGUCGGGUCAGCAGCGGCAUUAGCGUCUCAUAGGAGCAUGAACCCUACUGUGAACUGCGCAUGCGAGGGAUCUAGGCUGCGCGCUCCUUAUGAGAAUCUAACGCCUGAUGACCUAUCACUGUCUCCCAUCACUCCCAGAUGGGACCGUCUAGUUGCAGGAAAACAAGCUCAGGGCUCCCACUGAUUCUACAUUAUGAUCAACUGCAUGGGGUCCUACAGGAGAAGACCAAGAGACAGAGACAGAGACCAGGGAAAAUGACCGAUACCAUUCCUUCUCAGGGAUGCUACACACCCAUGGGGCAGAGGAUAAGAGGUUCCUGAAGGCAUCACCCCUCUGGCCAUGGCUGGUGUGCAGACAAAGCUGGAGAUUUGGAGUAGCCUGUUGUCCCACUGACUCUUAGACUGCCCCAGCUAAGAAGAACCAACUCCUCCUAUUACAGAUGAAAUAAACAAAGCUACUCAAGCUCUCUGGCAUCGCCCUGACGGUCAUCAUGUGCUUCACAUUUCCCUCCUGCCCCCCCUGAUUUUCUGGAAAAGGGAGAAACACACCAAAGAGAGUUCUAGAAAAAAUGAGAAUAAGAAAUUUACCUGUAAUCCUUGCUCAAGAAACUGAAGCUCUGAGGCCACAUUGUUCCAGCCUUUUGCAGCUCCUGCAUGUGGAUACCAGCACCAGCAGCUCCCCGACCAGGGGCCCCAGCUAAGCCCUCCCAGAGGAUGAUCUUGGCUUUGUACAUGGGGUGUCAAUAUCCUGUGAGUCCAACAGAGGGAAGACAUAAGAAUAUGGUCACCCAGGUUUCCUCUGGCCCCAUACUGGGAUCCAUUCCUGGGACAACUAGAAGUGCCAGGGAGUUAAAGCCCCAAGAGCGACCUUCAAGCCAAUAAGAGAUGGAGUUGGAAUGAAAACCUCAGCUUCCUCAUACCUCAGUGGGACAAUCCUGAGAUGUGUUCCUCAAGUCUCUCCAAGGACCUGAUGGGACUGAGUCCUGGUUGCUCAUGAGAGAAACCAGCAGGACUGGAUGUCAGUGAUUGCACCAUGCAGGAUUACAGAUUGUGCUGAGUUUAGAUUUUCUGCCUUCCUCCUCAGUUGUCAGGCUGCUAGCCAGCUCUUCUGCUCCCAUGACACCUGCAUCGAAUGCCUGCCCUUUCCUUACUACAAGACCCUUUCCAGUUCCCAGAUUAGAAUCUGCCACAGGCUAGGAAUCCCACAUCCCAGUAGUGAUUUGGCUCCAAGUGCAAAGGCACCUAGUGUCUGCCUUUUGUUCAGCAGCUUGGUGAUGGACAUAUCCAGGACUCAGAGACCCCUUUCCCUCAGCUCUCUGAGUUGGAAGCUGUCAGGUGCAGAAGGGCAACAUCUUACAUACACAGGGUUUGGGCAGGUCUGGGCAGUGCCUGGUUAAUGUUAAAUAAUGCAGAUAAAGGAAUUGUUGACAUCUGAAAGUCAAUAUGAAAAUUGUAUGCACUGCUGUGACUCAUGCAACUUCACUCCCAGCCCUGGUUCUCAUGAUUCCAGAAGUGGAAAAAAUAAGGCAACUCUUUUCCUCACAAUUCAAAAAAAUACCUAUUGAGCAACAUCAGCUUGGCCCACACAAGACAAUUUUUAUCCCUUCCGUUAGUUAACUUUGCUUUGGCCAAAGGCCAGAAAAACCUCAUUCUUUACAGGCAACCUCAGACCACCAUCCUGGAUCCACUUCAAAAACUAACUGCAGACCUGUGUCUUACUAGAGGUGAUUUGGUAGCAUUGAAGAUCAAAUCCCGAUUUAAAAAAUUAAAAAAAAAAUGAACAUAAAAUGCAUUUUUAACAAUGU